CUGUAUACAUGUUUACUGACAGCAAGCCACAAAUUACAUGGAUCAGAAUUGGGGGUUUUAGACCCGUGGAGCAACUGGGUAACUGCCCAGUGUGUCUAUGCCUUGAAAUGGCACUGGUUGUAAUUUGGAAAGCAACAGCUUGAUGAGAAAUGUUUUGUCAGUUCCUGCAGGAGCAUUAGGAGAAAAAUCCUGUUUGAAAAACAAAGGAAAUCCCCUCUUGAAUGUAAGCAUUGCAGAAUGAUUUUUAAACUGGUAUCAAUUUUGGUCCAUUCUCACUAACAUCCUGACAGGCAUACCCUUCAUAGAAAAAAAAAAAUUUAUAGGUAUUAAUACUGCAUUGUAGAUUUCAUCACUUUAUUCUGUUUUCCUGUAAGGACAUUACAACUGUAUCUGAUAUCUGUACAAAAUUGAUUCUGUACUUUAGCCAUAUUGAUUUACUCUAGAUCUUUUAGAGUAGAGUUGCAAACAGUGUUCACAUACUUCCUUGUGCAAAACCCAGAAACCAUCAACAUUUCAACCAAAGAUUGACCAUCAGCCUAUAGCAAUUCUAAAUGUAAAAUAUGCUUUUUUCAUAAGAAGUGCAAAUAUUACCAUCAAUGGUUCGAAGAUAGAGAAGCAAUAUGGAACUACAGAUUUCAUACAGAAGCAGUAAAAGCUUUUACUUAAAACUGCUUCUGUGUGAAAUCUGUAGUUCCAUAUUGCUUCUCUGUCUUCAAGGCUAAGGAUUGGUGAGCAGUAGUUUCUAUACAGCCACUGGACGGUAUCAAUCAUGAAUAGGGAAUCUAAGUAUUUUCCAAAAUGCCUCACUGCUGUUCAUACUCGACUACAACUGAAGUUUUGUAUCUUAAACCUGAAAUAUUUUGUUUCAGAAUAGUGAACAUCGCAGCUCAUGAUCGUAAAGUAAUGAGUUUGAUUCCUGGCAGCAUGUCGUUUCCUUAGCAAACACUUUAUUUCAUGUUGCUCCUGUCUGCUCAGUUGGCAAAAAUGAGUUGUACCUGAUAGACUUUAUGGCAGUUACAAUAUUCAACAUAGCAUGUAGGCAUUAAAUUGUUUUGAUUUUUUAAAAAAAUGGCAAUAAGGCACUUUCUAUUGAUUGCCAAUUUUUGUUUCAAAAUCUCAACCUUGUGAUGCCCAUCUUUUGUAUGAUGGGUAUUUAUCGUCACCUGUUUGUUUCUUUAAUCCUCUAGCAUUUAAACCAAUCAUAUUUAGCUAAAAUAUUCUUCAUGCUUUAUGCUCAAACUGACCAGAUCUGGCCUCUCACACCAACCCCACAAUAUCAUUCUAAACAACAGUUUGCUCAUCAAAAUCUCAAAACAAUGUGAAUAAAUAGGCGCAGGAUUUGACAGAAUAAUUUGAAUGCUAAAGGAUUUUGUAAACUUAUUGUCCUUGAUGCAGGGAGAGGUGAGGUUGUUCUUUUUUGAUGCAUUUUCAUUUGACACAAUCUCUUUGAUUCUAUUAAAUUGUCAGUCUUUUGUCAUACAUAUCAGUCAUAUGAUCAAUGUUUGAUUUGACAAUUUCUUAAUGUCCUUUGGUGACAUUUGGAGAUUCUGCUGAUAUCAUAGAACCAAUCUAGUUAUAGUGAAUUCUGUGCGAAAACCAAAUUAAAAUAUAUGUCCCUUAUUUUGUUUAUUUAUUUUCCCAUUCACUUGGACAUAUAUGACCACACACUGGUUGAAAUAGGUGUGAAUUGUAACGUCUAUCAAUGUGGAAAUUUUCAUAUGAAAAGCUUUAUCAAUUAACUAAUUAACUCAUGUCUGUCAGUGUAUAGUUG